AGUUCAUGAUCAGCAAAUGGCCAGCGAGCCAGCUACUGUAUCUGUAUGUAGCAGGGAAGGAAAAAUAAAAUCUUCGUCGCCGACAACUGCUAGUAGAUCAAGACCGGUGCGGUCACACGAAAUCCCCUGGACUGGAUUCAGAAACCAUACUGCUGGAGUAAAUAAAGUUUCAUGACUGUUGAGGGAAAGUACAGGAGGACAGUUAGAUAGAACAGUAAGGUGUUGCUCCAAUCAGUGACGGUACACACCCUAAGCAAAGCACAUUUUUUGGAAGAAAAAGAAAAAAG